CAUUUUGCAGUUGCUUCUUGCUUUGACUCCUUUUCUUCUAACUGCUGUUGGAAUAUUAAAUCAGUCUGAAUAAACCUGAAGUACAGAGACAUGACAAGCAUAAACAAGAAGGGAAGAUAAGACGGCUGAAGGACCUGAGGAUUAACCAAUUGCUCCCUGAUGUCAAACUGAGAAUCGGCAGAAAUAAUCAUUUUGGCAUCAGACAGGAAAAGUCAAAGGUUAAAGAAUCCUUUCUAUAGCACGCAGGUUAUGUCAAAUAGCAGUUGGGACUUCUCUGGGAACUUCAUGUUUCCUGACAAGAAGCAUUCCUGAUGGUUGGAGUCGGGACAAGGUAUCAUGUGAUCCGGAGGCCAUGAGUUUGAUUUAUGCCUAAGAUAUGACUUCACAUUCUGCUACACAUGCACAGUCUAAUUGGACAGCACCAGGGAAGCACGUGUUUUGGAGCCCUCAUUUUCUACAUACCACACCGCCAACAUGCUCCUAAGGAAGCAGUGGGCAGUAUCGGCUUUUCUCAAUUGACAUUUAAUGCUUGGUCAAAGGAGGGAAAAGUCAUGUCAGAGCCAAGCAAGUGGGACAACGGUCAAAUCAUGUCAUCUUUGUUCUGGCUUGCUGUCAACUUCUGUAUUUAGAUAUUAAAUG